GGACGAAGCAGUAGCCAGGCGAUGCUCCGGCGUUCGUUGCUCACUGUCGUCGGUCGCUGUCGCACAAGGCGACUCCUCAAGGAGAGGAGUUCCCACUAGUUGGAACUUGGAUGUACGGCUGGUGGUGUACUAUCUCCAACCAUGAAGAAAAAAGCAGUAUUCCAGAAAAUGAUGAGAUGAAAGAGCCCUACACCCCUAGUUGUUCACCUGGUUGGAGAUUUCCAUGAGACAACUUGUUUAAAUCACCUUAUUUUGUUGUGAAUGAACAGACCCAGACGAACAUCCUUUGUCAUCAGCUAUCAGCAAAAAUAAAAGGACUUUUGGCAAAAUA